UCUACUGCGAGUGAUGCGUUACUUUGCUGAGAGGAAGCAACCUAAUUGUGUUCGGUGCUGGUGAAGUCUUGCCUCGGAGUGCAGCUGUGUUAUUCUCAUCACCGAAGUUUUCCACAGAACGUUACCGCAGAGCUGUCAUUCACGCUUAACUGCCUGCUAACUGGCAUGAACUUCUUGCAGAAG